rnacentral:rRNA from 1 species
ACCUAUGGCCAUGUCACCCUGAACAAGCCCGAUCCCAUCUGAUCUCGGUGGAUAAGCAGGGUCGGGCCUGGUUAGCACUUAGGUGGGAGACCACCUAGGAAGACCAGGUGCUGUAGGCA